AACGGCAGAGCGGUGCAGGACCACAUUAACACAGGACUAUGGCUAGCAACGUGUGGAGGUCAAUGCUCUCUCACGUCGUGGGGGCGGCAAAGAGACCGACGGUAUGUUUCAGAAGGGGGCUGCAAACGGUUACGUUAAUUCCUGGGGAUGGAAUCGGUCCAGAAAUAUCCGUGGCUGUAAUGAAGAUUUUUGAGGCUGCUAAGGUUCCCAUCCAGUGGGAGGAGAGGAAUGUGACAGCUAUCCAGGGCCCAGGAGGUAGAUGGAUGAUCCCUCCAGACUGUAAGGAGUCUAUGGACAGGACCCUGAUCGGGUUAAAAGGCCCCCUGAAGACCCCCAUCGCAGCCGGCCACCCCUCCAUGAACCUGCUCCUCAGGAAGACCUUUGACCUGUACGCCAACGUGCGGCCCUGCGUGUCCAUCGAGGGCUACAAGACCCCCUACACCGACGUGGACCUGGUCACCAUCCGAGAGAACACCGAGGGAGAGUACAGUGGAAUCGAGCACAUAGUAUGUCGCUAUGGUUACCACGGUCAGGAGGAGAGAAAUGGGACAAAGUUAUGAGUGAAACCAGUUAGUUUUUUUCACAUGUGUGGAUUUCAAACUGAAUCUGUAAAAUGCCUGCAGCUAACACUGACUACAGAGGAAUAGACCAGGGAGCAGUAGCUACCUCGUAUGUUAACAUGCCUACAGAGGAAUAGACCAGGGAACAGUAGCUACCUCGUAUGUUAACAUGCCUACAGAGGAAUAGACCAGGGAACAGUAGCUACCUCGUAUGUUAACAUGCCUACAGAGGAAUAGACCAGGGAACAGUAGCUACCUCGUAUGUUAACAUGCCUACAGAGGAAUAGACCAGGGAGCAGUAGCUACCUCGUAUGUUAACAUGCCUACAGAGGAAUAGACCAGGGAGCAGUAGCUACCUCGUAUGUUAACAUGCCUACAGCUAACACUGACUACAGAAGAAUAGACCAGGGAGCAGUAGCUACCUCGUAUGUUAACAUGCCUACAGAGGAAUAGACCAGGGAACAGUAGCUACCUCGUAUGUUAACAUGCCUGCAGCUAACACUGACUACAGAGGAAUAGACCAGGGAGCAGUAGCUACCUCGUAUGUUAACAUGCCUACAGCUAACACUGACUACAGAGGAAUAGACCAGGGAGCAGUAGCUACCUCGUAUGUUAACAUGCCUACAGAGGAAUAGACCAGGGAGCAGUAGCUACCUCGUAUGUUAACAUGCCUGCAGCUAACACUGACUACAGAGGAAUAGACCAGGGAGCAGUAGCUACCUCGUAUGUUAACAUGCCUGCAGCUAACACUGACUACAGAGGAAUAGACCAGGGAGCAGUAGCUACCUCGUAUGUUAACAUGCCUACAGCUAACACUGACUACAGAGGAAUAGACCAGGGAGCAGUAGCUACCUCGUAUGUUAACAUGCCUACAGAGGAAUAGACCAGGGAACAGUAGCUACCUCGUAUGUUAACAUGCCUACAGCUAACACUGACUACAGAGGAAUAGACCACAUAGCAGUAGCUACCUCAUAUGUUUGCUGGAAUAGUUGUUCAGGAGAAUAAUUUUAAUUGGCUGAUCCCUCCUACUGACCAGAGGGGAACGCUACAAAACAGAAUCAAUGAGUUAGCCAGCUAACUUUGAGAAAGAACCAGAAAUAACGAUGGAUUUUUUUUGGUGAGGGAGGGGUUUAAAGAAAGCUAAACUUGUGUGUUUUUGGUUGUCGAAUCAUUUAGUCCAUUUCAAACUUUAUCUUUCUAAAUAAAAAAUAAUUGUCAAGUUCGCUAGUGAACUCCUUGAUCCUGCGUUGUAGUCAACCCCUCUGGGGGAGGGGAUACUCUUACAACAUUAACAUGCAGGGAUGUGUUCAUCCGGUAUGAAAUGGAGGUGAAACAAGAGGUCCUACCUGAACAUGACCCAAGAAGAAUGUUCAGGUGACUCGUUUUUAAUGGCUACGUUGUGCCCUGCUGAACAUGACCCAGUGUUUCAACACUGGGGUGGGUUCUUCAUUAGGGCAUCUGGUGUAGUUUUCGGCGCAAAUGUCAGUACUAAAAUGGUUGUGAAUGGUUUGUUGGUUUGACAGUUAAUUAUUUAAUUUUAGCUUUUAUUUUACUAGGCAAGUCAGUUAAGAACAAAUUCUUAUUUUCAAUGACGGCCUUGGAACAGUGGGUUAACUGCCUGUUCAGGGGCAGAACGACAGAUUUGUACCUUGUCAGCUCAGGGGAUUUGAACUUGCAACCUUUCGAUUACUAGUCCAAUGCUCUAACCACUAGGCUACCCUCUCAGUAACUGAGAAGUCACGUUGACUGUGAUGUGACUACUCUGGACCGUCGAUUUUCAUCUCUUGAUAAGCAGCUGUUUUCAAGGCUGAGAACUGAGCAGUCCGUAUUUUCACUGUGGUGUUGUGUGGAAUCGGUGUCCUCGGUUAUUGAAACUGUUUUAUCUGGGUUGGACAGGGCACCUCACAUCACAGGUGAUUGGUUAUUCUCCAGGUGUUCCUUAGAUCGUUGACGGCGUAGUUCAGAGCAUCAAACUCAUCACGGAAGACGCCAGUCGACGUAUCGCCGAGUACGCCUUCGAGUACGCAAGAAACAACCAAAGAAACAGCGUCACGGCCGUUCACAAAGCCAACAUCAUGAGGAUGUCGGAUGGGCUGUUCCUGAGGAAAUGCAGAGAGGUGGCUGAAAACUUCAAGGACGUCAAGUUUACUGAGAUGUACCUGGACACCGUGUGUCUCAACAUGGUGCAAGAUCCCACCCAGUUUGACGUCCUGGUGAUGCCCAACCUGUAUGGUGACAUUCUCAGUGAUCUGUGUGCUGGACUUAUUGGCGGUCUGGGAGUCACUCCUAGUGGAAACAUUGGUGCCAAUGGAGUCGCCAUUUUUGAAUCGGUCCAUGGGACGGCCCCCGACAUAGCCGGUCUGGACAUGGCCAACCCUACAGCUCUGCUGCUCAGUGCUGUGAUGAUGCUGCGUCACAUGGGCAUGCACGACUACGGCAAGAAGAUCGAGACCGCCUGUUUCGACACCAUCAGAGACAAGAAGGUGUUGACCGGAGACCUCGGUGGGAAGUCGAAGUGCUCAGAGUUUACAGAGGAGAUCUGCCGUAGAGUGCGAGACAUGGACUGAAAACGACGGCUGUUGAUUUUCUGAAGACUUCAUAAUAAUUCAACCGCUGCUUUGAACUUACUCCUAAAGACUCUGGGGGGGCGUUCCAGGUUGUCAGUUCCGCAGUUACGAUGCAGCUGCAUAUCUUAGAUUACUAUAUUAUAUUUAUGUCGGUUCCUGAGAAUGGACAAUUCUCCAGGUUUUCUAGAAAUAGAAAUUCGAUAAUUUGUGCAGUGUGACUGAAAUAAAUCACCACCUGGAACGCGCCCUACAUGGAUGGGUAUUCACUCUUAAGGUGUAUUUAAGCACAAUUUUACUCACAUGAUCAUUUCAUGGGGCAAACUUCCCCAAAGUUAUACUUGCCUCUAUACUACGUGGCACUCCUCCUGUGUUGUCCGGCAGUGGUUCUGAUCGUUUGCUAGUUUGAUUUUUUUUAACGGUAAAUGUAAUGCUAACGGCUUCAAUGUACUGUAUUUAUUGUUACCAGUCGGGUUCCUGUGCAUGAAUGGAUUGUAUUGUACCAGCGUCUCAUGUCUCUCUUUUCUGUUUCGAGAUCAUACAUAAAAAUCACAUGACUUUAAA